rnacentral:ncRNA from 10 species
CGGGCCAGUAUUAAGCAUUACCCCGUGGUGGGGUUCCCGAGCGAUCAUAAGGGAGCUGACUGCAAAUCUGCCGUCAUCGACUUCAAGGUUCGACUCGAGCAAUAGUGAGAGAACGUUGCCGCAGGCAACGGCCCGAAGGGUGAGGAGCUUUAGCUCCGAAUAAUCCUUCCCGCUAUAGAA